AUGGAAUUCUCACCCAGAGCUGCGGAACUCACGACUCUAUUAGAAAGUAGAAUGACCAACUUUUACACGAAUUUUCAAGUGGAUGAGAUCGGUCGAGUGGUCUCAGUUGGAGAUGGGAUUGCACGUGCUUAUGGAUUGAAUGAGAUUCAAGCAGGAGAAAUGGUGGAAUUUGCCAGCGAUGUGAAAGGAAUCGCCUUAAAUCUUGAGAAUGAGAAUGUAGGUAUUGUUGUCUUUGGUAGUGAUACCGCUAUUAAAGAAGGAGAUCUUGUCAAGCGCACUGGAUCUAUUGUGGAUGUUCCUGCUGGAAAGGCCAUGUUAGGCCGUGUGGUCGAUGCUUUGGGAGUACCUAUUGAUGGAAAAGGGGCUCUAAGCGAUCACGAACGAAGACGUGUCAAAGUGAAAGCCCCAGGGAUUAGUGAACGUAAAUCUGUGGAUGAACCCAUGCAAACAGGCUUAAAAGCAGUGGAUAGCCUGGUUCCUAUAGGCCGUGGUCAACGAGAACUUAUAACCGGGGACAAACAAACUGGAAAAACUACAAUAGCUAUCGAUACUAUAUUAAACCAAAAGCAAAUGAACUCAAGGGGAACAAAUGAGAGUGAUACAUUGUAUUGUGUCUGUUGCGAUUGGACAAAAACGCUUGACUGUGGCACAAUUAGUUCAAAUUCUUUCAGAAGCGAAUGCUUUCGAAUAUUCCAUUCUUGUAGAAGCCACCACUUCGGAUCCUGCUCCUCUGCAAUUUCUGGCCCCAUAUUUAGGGUGUGCCUUGGGGGAAUAUUUCCGCGAUAA
rnacentral:rRNA from 1 species